AGUGAACGCUGGCGGCAGGCCUAAUACAUGCAAGUCGAACGGCAGCACAGCAGAGCUUGCUCUGUGGGUGGCGAGUGGCGGACGGGUGAGGAAUACGUGGGAAUCUGCCCAGUCGUGGGGGAUAACGUAGGGAAACUUACGCUAAUACCGCACGCGCCCUUCGGGGGAAAGCCGGGGACCUUCGGGCCUGGCGCGAUUGGAUGAGCCCACGGCGGAUUAGCUAGUUGGCGGGGUAAAGGACCACCAAGGCGAGGAUCCGUAGCCGGCCUGGGAGGUUGAUAAGCCAAGCUGGAACUGAGACACGGCCCAGACUGCUACGGGAGGCAGCAGUAGGGAAUCUUGGACAAUGGGCGCCAGGCUGAUUCAGCCACGCCGCGUGAGUGAAGAAGGCCCUCGGGUUGUAAAGCUCUGUUGUACGGAAAGAAAAGCAGCCAGUUAAUACCUGGGUGUCCUGACGGUACCGGAAGAAUAAGCACCGGCUAACUUCGUGCCAGCCGCCGCGGUAACAC
rnacentral:rRNA from 1 species